UGCCAAUCCUGCCACUGGCAAUCUCUGGGAC
rnacentral:piRNA from 1 species